AUUGAACGCUGGCGGAAUGCUUUACACAUGCAAGUCGAACGGUAGAGGGGGCAACCCCUCGAGAGUGGCGAACGGGUGAGUAAUAUAUCGGAACGUGCCCAGUCGUGGGGGAUAACGUAGCGAAAGUUACGCUAAUACCGCAUACGAUCUACGGAUGAAAGCGGGGGAUCGCAAGACCUCGCGCGAUUGGAGCGGCCGAUAUCAGAUUAGGUAGUUGGUGGGGUAAAGGCUCACCAAGCCAACGAUCUGUAGCUGGUCUGAGAGGACGACCAGCCACACUGGAACUGAGACACGGUCCAGACUCCUACGGGAGGCAGCAGUGGGGAAUUUUGGACAAUGGACGCAAGUCUGAUCCAGCCAUUCCGCGUGCAGGAUGAA
rnacentral:rRNA from 1 species